AGUGAACGCUGGCGGUAGGCCUAACACAUGCAAGUCGAACGGCAGCACAGUAAGAGCUUGCUCUUACGGGUGGCGAGUGGCAGACGGGUGAGGAAUACAUCGGAAUCUACUUUUUCGUGGGGGAUAACGUAGGGAAACUUACGCUAAUACCGCAUACGACCUACGGGUGAAAGCAGGGGAUCUUCGGACCUUGCGCGAUUGAAUGAGCCGAUGUCGGAUUAGCUAGUUGGCGGGGUAAAGGCCCACCAAGGCGACGAUCCGUAGCUGGUCUGAGAGGAUGAUCAGCCACACUGGAACUGAGACACGGUCCAGACUCCUACGGGAGGCAGCAGUGGGGAAUAUUGGACAAUGGGCGCAAGCCUGAUCCAGCCAUACCGCGUGGGUGAAGAAGGCCUUCGGGUUGUAAAGCCCUUUUGUUGGGAAAGAAAAGCAGCAGGUUAAUACCCCGCUGUGCUGACGGUACCCAAAGAAUAAGCACCGGCUAACUUCGUG
rnacentral:rRNA from 1 species